rnacentral:rRNA from 1 species
GUGGGGAAUAUUGGACAAUGGGCGAAAGCCUGAUCCAGCCAUGCCGCGUGUGUGAAGAAGGUCUUCGGAUUGUAAAGCACUUUAAGUUGGGAGGAAGGGCAGUAAGUUAAUACCUUGCUGUUUUGACGUUACCGACAGAAUAAGCACCGGCUAACUCUGUGCCAGCAGCCGCGGUAAUACAGAGGGUGCAAGCGUUAAUCGGAUUUACUGGGCGUAAAGCGCGCGUAGGUGGUUUUGUAAGUUGGAGGUGAAAUCCCCGGGCUCAACCUGGGAACUGCCUCCAAAACUGCAUGACUAGAGUACGGUAGAGGGUAGUGGAAUUUCCUGUGUAGCGGUGAAAUGCGUAGAUAUAGGAAGGAACACCAGUGGCGAAGGCGACUACCUGGACUGAUACUGACACUGAGGUGCGAAAGCGUGGGGAGCAAACAGGAUUAGAAACCCGUGUAGUCC